GGCCCAGACUCNUACGGGAGGCAGCAGUGGGGAAUUUUGGACAAUGGGGGCAACCCUGAUCCAGCCAUGCCGCGUGCGGGAAGAAGGCCUUCGGGUUGUAAACCGCUUUUAUCCGGAAAGAAGGAGUCGAGGUUAAUACCCUCGAUGACUGACGGUACCGGAGGAAUAAGCACCGGCUAACUACGUGCCAGCAGCCGCGGUAAUACGUAGGGUGCGAGCGUUAAUCGGAAUUACUGGGCGUAAAGCGUGCGCAGGCGGUUCGUUAAGUCAGCUGUGAAAGCCCCGGGCUCAACCUGGGAACUGCGGUUGAAACUGGCGGACUAGAAUCUGGCAGAGGGGGGUGGAAUUCCACGUGUAGCAGUGAAAUGCGUAGAGAUGUGGAGGAACACCGAUGGCGAAGGCAGCCCCCUGGGCUGAGAU
rnacentral:rRNA from 1 species